AUUGAACGCUGGCGGCAGGCCUAACACAUGCAAGUCGAGCGGAUGAAGGGAGCUUGCUCCUGGAUUCAGCGGCGGACGGGUGAGUAAUGCCUAGGAAUCUGCCGGGUAGUGGGGGAUAACGUCCGGAAACGGGCGCUAAUACCGCAUACGUCCUGAGGGAGAAAGUGGGGAUCUUCGGACCUCACGCUAUCAGAUGAGCCUAGGUCGGAUUAGCUAGUUGGUGGGGUAAAGGCCUACCAAGGCGACGAUCCGUAACUGGUCUGAGAGGAUGAUCAGUCACACUGGAACUGAGACACGGUCCAGACUCCUACGGGAGGCAGCAGUGGGGAAUAUUGGACAAUGGGCGAAAGCCUGAUCCAGCCAUGCCGCGUGUGUGAAGAAGGUCUUCGGAUUGUAAAGCACUUUAAGUUGGGAGGAAGGGCAGUAAGUUAAUACCUUGCUGUUUUGACGUUACCAACAGAAUAAGCACCGGCUAACUUCGUG
rnacentral:rRNA from 1 species